GUGGAGAGGGAGAACGGUGCCAGUGAAGAUCGACAAAGUGAGGAUCUUUCUCCUAGGCUUGGCUGAUAACGAAGCAGCCAUUGCUCAGGCUGAAAGUGAAGAAACCAAGGAGCGUCUGUUUGAAUCCAUGCUCAGUGAGUGUCGGGACGCCAUCCAGGCCGUGCGGGAGGAGCUCAAGCCAGAUCAGAAACAGAGAGAUUACACCCCUGAGGGGGAGUCAGGGAAGGUAUCUAAUCUUCAGUACCUGCACAGCUACCUGACCUACAUCAAGCUGUCAACGGCAAUCAAGAGAAAUGAGAACAUGGCUAAAGGUCUGCAGAAGGCGCUGCUGCAGCAGCAGCAGCCAGAAGAUGACAGCAGCGCUCUCCCCGGCCGCAGCACCUGAUCCGGCUCUAUGACAUCAUUCUACAGAACCUGAUGGAAUUACUACAGCUUCCUGGCUUAGAGGACGACAGAACCUUCCAGAGAGAGAUAGGCCUCAAGACCUUGGUGUUCAAAGCUUACAGGUGUUUUUUCAUUGCUCAGUCCUACGUGUUGGUGAAGAAGUGGAGCGAAGCCCUUGUCCUGUACGACAGAGUCCUGAAGUAUGCAGACGAAGUAAACUCUGACUCAGGAGCCUUCAAGAACAGCCUAAAAGACUUGCCUGAUGUGCACGAGCUCAUCACCCAAGUGCGGUCAGAGAAGUGCUCCCUGCAGGCCGCCGCCAUCCUGGAUGCAAACGAUGCCCAUCAAACGGAAACUUCCUCCCAAGUAAAGGACAAUAAGCCUUUGGUUGAACGGUUUGACACCUUCUGCCUGGACCCUUCCCUCGUCACCAAGCAAGCCAACCUCGUGCACUUCCCGCCUGGGUUCCAGCCCAUUCCUUGCAAGCCUUUGUUCUUCGACCUGGCCCUCAAUCACGUGGCCUUCCCACCCCUUGAGGACAAGUUGGAACAGAAGACUAAGAGCGGCCUCACUGGAUAUAUCAAGGGCAUCUUUGGAUUCAGGAGCUAACCAGGCUCUUCCUCGGGCAGGGGAGAUUCUGACUUUUAGCUGUAUUGUGAGAAAGCCCCGGCAAGUUCCAUGCUAUUAAAUCCAGGUCUGCGUUGGCCCAGGGUGGGAGCUCUGCACCCUUAGCCCUGUGUUCCUAUGUCUUGUGUUUGUGCACUUACAUUCUUAACCCACGUGUGGGAAGGCCGCCCCGGUGUCUUUGGGCCCCUGUGUCUGCCCGCUGUGUCUCUCGUACCUCCUGGAGCACCACUGCCGUCUGGUGCCAGGGAGCCAGGGCCAGUUACCUGGUAAGGUGAGGUGCAUUAGGGGCUCUGCAGAGGCACGUGGGGCCGUGGGUGUUUGUCCUGUGUCCUCAGCGUGGGUGUGGAAGGGACUCGCCCAGGAGCCCUCGAAGCUUUGCCCAUGACUAUGAAACAUUGGUGGUGUCACUUCCAAGUUAUGGUCAGCCUUAUCCCCUCAUUUCCAAGUAAACAUUACGUUUCCAAACAAGCAGAGAGCUCUAUUUUUAGAAGAAAUAUGUUACACUCAGAAAUGAUGAAACCAAAUCUUAUAUUAAAAGCAAAGACAAUAGAGACUGUGCCCAUUUUUUACACGCCCUCUCUCCCGGGGACCUGAAUGAACGGCCCCGUGAGGUCAGGCGGCCCUGACUUCCUGGCAGCCAGCUGUGCUUGCGGCUACGUACGGGAUGUGGUGGAGGCACUGUUUUUAAAGAGUUCUGUGAUUUCUAGAUGCCAUCACAUUUUAAUCUUCCUUACCCUUUUACUUUUUUACCUAUUCAUCCUUUUUUAAUUUCAUCUGUGGCAUCAAUAACAGAUGUCACAAAGGCAAUGUAAGAAAGAAGAAAUAAAAGUGAUUUA